GACGAACGCUGGCGGCGUGCUUAACACAUGCAAGUCGAACGGAAAGGCCCUGCUUUUGUGGGGUGCUCGAGUGGCGAACGGGUGAGUAACACGUGAGUAACCUGCCCUUGACUUUGGGAUAACUUCAGGAAACUGGGGCUAAUACCGGAUAGGAGCUCCUGCUGCAUGGUGGGGGUUGGAAAGUUUCGGCGGUUGGGGAUGGACUCGCGGCUUAUCAGCUUGUUGGUUGGGUAGUGGCUUACCAAGGCUUUGACGGGUAGCCGGCCUGAGAGGGUGACCGGCCACAUUGGGACUGAGAUGCGGCCCAGACUCGUACGGGAGGCAGCAGUGGGGAAUAGUGCACAAUGGGCGGAAGCCUGAUGCAGCAACGCCGCGUGCGGGAUGACGGCCUUCGGGUUGUAAACCGCUUUCGCUUGUGACGAAGCGUGAGUGACGGUAAUGGGUAAAGAAGCACCGGCUAACUACGUG
rnacentral:rRNA from 1 species